CCCAGCAGUGGUCACCCUCCAGACAGAUGCAUUGCCGUGAUGGUUACACUGCUGGGAGAGGAAUGUCCUCUCUUUUUUCUCCAGUUGCCUCUAACAGUGUUCUGGUGGCAUCUGGCACUGGUGCAGGGUAGAACUGUGCAUCUUUAAGAUUGUGCUAAGCAUUCACUUUGGCUUAGUUCUAGUGUGGGAGCACACACA